GAUAAACGCUGGCGGCGUGCCUAAUACAUGCAAGUCGAGCGAACGGACGAGAAGCUUGCUUCUCUGAUGUUAGCGGCGGACGGGUGAGUAACACGUGGAUAACCUACCUAUAAGACUGGGAUAACUUCGGGAAACCGGAGCUAAUACCGGAUAAUAUUUUGAACCGCAUGGUUCAAAAGUGAAAGACGGUCUUGCUGUCACUUAUAGAUGGAUCCGCGCUGCAUUAGCUAGUUGGUAAGGUAACGGCUUACCAAGGCAACGAUGCAUAGCCGACCUGAGAGGGUGAUCGGCCACACUGGAACUGAGACACGGUCCAGACUCCUACGGGAGGCAGCAGUAGGGAAUCUUCCGCAAUGGGCGAAAGCCUGACGGAGCAACGCCGCGUGGGUGAUGAAGGUCUUCGGAUCGUAAAACUCUGUUAUUAGGGAAGAACAUAUGUGUAAGUAACUGUGCACAUCUUGACGGUACCUAAUCAGAAAGCCACGGCUAACUACGUGCCAGCAGCCGCGGUAAUACGUAGGUGGCAAGCGUUAUCCGGAAUUAUUGGGCGUAAAGCGCGCGUAGGCGGUUUUUUAAGUCUGAUGUGAAAGCCCACGGCUCAACCGUGGAGGGUCAUUGGAAACUGGAAAACUUGAGUGCAGAAGAGGAAAGUGGAAUUCCAUGUGUAGCGGUGAAAUGCGCAGAGAUAUGGAGGAACACCAGUGGCGAAGGCGACUUUCUGGUCUGUAACUGACGCUGAUGUGCGAAAGCGUGGGGAUCAAACAGGAUUAGAUACCCUGGUAGUCCACGCCGUAAACGAUGAGUGCUAAGUGUUAGGGGGUUUCCGCCCCUUAGUGCUGCAGCUAACGCAUUAAGCACUCCGCCUGGGGAGUACGACCGCAAGGUUGAAACUCAAAGGAAUUGACGGGGACCCGCACAAGCGGUGGAGCAUGUGGUUUAAUUCGAAGCAACGCGAAGAACCUUACCAAAUCUUGACAUCCUUUGACAACUCUAGAGAUAGAGCCUUCCCCUUCGGGGGACAAAGUGACAGGUGGUGCAUGGUUGUCGUCAGCUCGUGUCGUGAGAUGUUGGGUUAAGUCCCGCAACGAGCGCAACCCUUAAGCUUAGUUGCCAUCAUUAAGUUGGGCACUCUAAGUUGACUGCCGGUGACAAACCGGAGGAAGGUGGGGAUGACGUCAAAUCAUCAUGCCCCUUAUGAUUUGGGCUACACACGUGCUACAAUGGACAAUACAAAGGGCAGCGAAACCGCGAGGUCAAGCAAAUCCCAUAAAGUUGUUCUCAGUUCGGAUUGUAGUCUGCAACUCGACUACAUGAAGCUGGAAUCGCUAGUAAUCGUAGAUCAGCAUGCUACGGUGAAUACGUUCCCGGGUCU
rnacentral:rRNA from 1 species